rnacentral:rRNA from 1 species
GAACUCUUCGGAGUUAGUGGCAGACGGGUGCGUAACACGUGGGAACCUACCCUAAGGUACGGAAUAACUCAGGGAAACUUGUGCUAAUACCGUAUAUGUCUUCGGAUGAAAGAUUUAUCGCCUUAGGAUGGGCCCGCGGCUGAUUAGUCUGUUGGUGGGGUAAAAGCCUACCAAGACUACGAUCAGUAGCUGGUCUGAGAGGAUGAUCAGCCACACUGGAACUGAGACACGGUCCAGACUCCUACGGGAGGCAGCAGUGAGGAAUAUUGGACAAUGGGGGCAACCCUGAUCCAGCCAUGCCGCGUGAGUGAUGAAGGCCUUAGGGUUGUAAAACUCUUUCGCUAGUGAAGAUAAUGACGGUAACUAGUAAAGAAGCCCCGGCUAAUUUCGUGCCAGCAGCCGCGGUAAUACGAAAGGGGCAAGCGUUGUUCGGAAUUACUGGGCGUAAAGCGCGCGUAGGCGGGACGUCAAGUUGGGGGUGAAAUCCCAGGGCUCAACCCUGGAACUGCCUCCAAAACUGACGACCUAGAGGAUGUGAGAGGAUAGUGGAAUUCCGAGUGUAGAGGUGAAAUUCGUAGAUAUUCGGAAGAACACCAGUGGCGAAGGCGACUGUC